rnacentral:tRNA from 1 species
AGUCUUUGUAGUAUAUAAAAUACCCUGGUCUUGUAAACCAGAAAAGGAGGACCACCCCUCCCCAAGACU